GAAUGACUGGAAGGGGUGGAGCCAGGAUCCACCUCUUCCCAGAUCUCAUUUAAGGGUUGGCAGUGGAACCAAGGGUACGUCUUGCUGGAAAUCUCUGUUUGUCUGAGGCCUUCUGAAGGUAAAUAACAGAAUAGAUACUGUGAAGAAUAAACUCUUCCUGCCGAGGUCAAUGUGGCACUACAAUGAUGUUAAAAGGAUGUAUUGGCGGCUUGAUCUGAGUUCAGAAACACAGCAAAGGCACUUCUAGAGCACUUUUGCAGCACGGUGAAUAAUACAGCUUGCUCUUAACUGGACAUGGGAGUCAACAGAGAAUUUAAAUGAGUGUACCUACUAAGUGUUUCAUACAAUUUAUCUUAAUUGUUUGAUUUAUUUGGAAACCUGUGACUGAAGAAAAGCAAGGCUAUAGUGCCAGAAAUUCAUUCUGGAUUGAGUAGUAGUGUGAAUAUGCUAUCAUUUGAUGUAAAUGAUCUUGCAGUAUUAGCACAAACCAGGAAACCUUCCUUCCAUGGCAGAGGUAUGAAAAACAAGAAGCAGUGAGGAGGGCGGUGCACGCAGCUGUUGGAGCAUCACAUUUCCUUGCCACCACCUCUGAUCUUAAACUUUUCCUGAAAAGUGGAGUGAGGAAGUGGGAGAAAGUUGGUUAUUAAUUUAUUUAUAGUUUUGUGUGUGCACGUAGACUUGUGUGAUGCAUCAGAUGUAUCUUUUCUGUUUUGGCACUAGAUUAUUUGCUACAUAAUACAUCUUUGCAGAUGGCAUCAGUUGUUAAAAAUAUAGAGAUAAAAAAGAUGAACCUCUUGGCUGUUUUUGCUAGAAAUUUCCAUGUUCCUUACAUAGAUACACUUACUUGAUUACUCGCUUUAUUAGUUACAAGUUUUGCAAAAGCUUCUAGUCUUUCUGAACAAAUACUCUUUCUGAAGUCUUUUUCUUUUCUGUCACGAUCCCUGGAGUAUAUUUAAAAUUCUGUGAUCCAUGGUAUUUAUUUAUUUGAUUUCUAAUACAGUUGAUUAGCAAGUCUUUGUCCUUUAUAAACCUUUUUGGCUCAGCCAGAGGAGUGAAAAUUCCCACUGACACAGAAAAUUUGUAGGGGUCAUACUUCAUUGCAUUUCAUAGUUAAACAGAAGCAAGUUUCAUCUGAAUGUGCGCACACCUCACACCUCAGGACAGGAUAAAUUUCUGUGAUAAGGAGAGUAAAAACUGCAUUUAAAGUGCUGACUUUACAGUUGUCCUGUAAUGAUAUUUUAAAUAUUCUGGUUCUUUGUAUUUUCUGAGUUGGAAAAAUGUGUCAUAGGAUUUUUCUUUUUAAAAUAAAGGUAAUUAGCUUAAUCUCAUCCGAAGAAGGUUGCCAACGUUUGCGAUUUUGAAUGAUUUUUUCUGCUGUGAUUCAGUGUAUAUCAUUUCUAUGGAACAAACAAACAAAACAACA